rnacentral:lncRNA from 1 species
AAAGUGUAGUUGAUUUACAGUGUUGUGCCAAUUUCUGCUGUACAGCAAAGGGACCCAGUCAUACUUAUAUAUAAGUUCCUUUUCUUAUAUUAUCUUUCAUGGUGGUCUAUCCCAAAAGACUAGAUAGAGUUCCCUGCACUAUAAAAUAGGACCUCAUUGCUUAUCCACUCUAAAUGUAAUAGUUUGCAUCUACUAACCCCAAACUCUCCGUCCAUCCCACUUCCUCUCCCCUUCCCCCUCCUUCUUGACAACCACAAGUCUGUUCUCUAUGUCUGUGAGUCUGCUUCUGUUUUGUAGAUCAGUUCUUUUUGUGCCAUAUUUUAGAUCUCACAUAUAAGUGAUAUCAUAUGGUGUCUCUUUCUGACUUACUUCACUUAGUAUGAUAAUCUCUAGUUGCAUCUAUGUUGCUGCAAAUGACAUUAUUUUGUUCUUUUUAUGGAUGAGUAGUAUUCCAUUGUAUAUAUGUACCACACCUUCUUAAUUCAUUCACCUUACAGUGGACAUUCAGGUUGCUUCCAUGUCUUGGGUUUUGUGAAUGGUGCUGUUAUGAACACAUACGUGCCUGUAUCCUUCUGAGUUCAAUUUUGUCUGGAUAUUUGUUCAGGAGUGGGAUUGCUGGAUCAUUUGGUAGUUCUAUAUUUAGUUUUCUGAGGAACCUCCAUACUGUUUUCCAUAGUGGUUGUAUCAAUUUACAUUCCUUCCAACAGCAUUCUUGAUCUGUCUAAAUGAAAAUCUGGAGUUCCCAUUGUGGCUCAGUGGCAGCAAACCCAACUAGUAUCCAUGAGGAUGCAGGUUUGGUCCCUGGCCUUGUUCAGUAGGUUAAGGAUACAGCAUUGCAGUGAGCUGUAAGCUGUGGUGUAGGUCACAGAUGUGGCUUGGAUCUGGCAUUGCCGUGGCUGUGGUAUAAGCUAGCAGCUGCAGCUGUGAUUGAAACACUAGCCUGAGAACUUCCAUAUGCUGUGGACACGGCCCUAAUUAAUUAAUUAAUUAAUUAAAAUGAAAAUCUGAUCAUGUGACUUUCCCUGCCUAAAAUCCUUCACUGGAUUUUCAUUACUCUUGGAAUAACACCAAAAUUCUCUAGUGAGCCUCUUCAGGAUCCUCUGCCUGCUUUUCUAUCUUUCUCAUGCCUCCCUCUCCCACAUUCGACUUUCUUCAGUUCCCUCCAAAGCCCCACCUCCUUCCCCCUGAAGAGCCUUUACUCAGGAUGUUGCUUUUGCUUGAAAUAUUCUUCCCCUCCUUAUGCCUCCUUUGACUUAUUUAGCUAUGACUCAAAUGUUACAUUUUGGGGGAAGCAAGCCUUGCCUGAAUCUUCAGACUUGCUAACAUUUCCCACUCAUGUAUACUCAUACUUUUUCAUAGAGCUUAUACAAUUGUAAUUAAUUAUCUGUUUGUAAACAUAUUUGAUUCAAGUAUAUCUCCUUUAUUGGCCAAAAGUUUCAUGAGCGCAAGAACCAUGUCUAUCUUGCACACCAUUGUACCUCAUGACUUUCGAGGGAACUUAAUAAAGGUUGGUCGAAUGAAUGAAUAGUAUAUGAUUUGUAGGUAAGGGUAAAAGACACCUCCCUCUUUCUUUU